rnacentral:rRNA from 2 species
CUGACCUCAAAUCAGGA